GUUGGAUUCUCCAGCACAUCUGAUAAUAUUGUAAAAAUAAAGAGAAGAUUAACAUGACCCCUAAGCAAGGAUCACAUGCAAAGUCAGUCCACGUAAAGAUAUGU